rnacentral:rRNA from 1 species
CAGUCGCCGCGGUAAUACGUAGGGUGCAAGCGUUAAUCGGAAUUACUGGGCGUAAAGCGUGCGCAGGCGGUUUGUUAAGACAGAUGUGAAAUCCCCGGGCUCAACCUGGGAACUGCAUCUGUGACUGCAUCGCUGGAGUGCGGCAGAGGGGGAUGGAAUUCCGCGUGUAGCAGUGAAAUGCGUAGAUAUGCGGAGGAACACCGAUGGCGAAGGCAAUCCCCUGGGCCUGCACUGACGCUCAUGCACGAAAGCGUGGGGAGCAAACAGGAUUAGAUACCCCCGUAGUCCCUGUCUCUUAUAC